GGGGAGGCUGCAGCCGUGGCUCUGCACAGCAGUGCCAAAAUUCCCUGGAGCUGCAUGGCCGGACACACCCGGGCCCUGGGAUAACCCUCCGGCUUGGAAUGGUUCCCCCAUGCUGGUCCCAGGGCAGAGUCCAGAUCCUGCCAGGGCUGGGGACACUGCAUGGCCCCAGAGCAGCCCACAGUGCUCCUCCAGCUGGGAGGGGACCAGCAGAUCAGCCCCUCCACGCUGGAGCUUCUCAGCCAUCCCAGCUGAGCAGGAGCUGGUGCAGACUGUGUGCAUCACUUGCCUGAUUUAGCAGAUUCCAUCAGCACUCCCACCUCCCUGAGACCUGGCUCCAGCUCACAGGAUUUCACAAGCUGCAAAUGAGGGAAGUGAAUUUUUUACCUAUAGGGAUUGAUGCUAUUCAUCAUAACCCAGGAUGCAGAGGAGCCAGCUCCAGACAAACCCCAGCUCCCCUGCUCCAAACACAGCUGAUGCUGCUGCUCUCGGAGAAUGUAAGGAGGAGAGUCAUAGAAUAUCCAGGAAGAGAUCAAAAGGACCAUCAAGUCCAACUCCUGGACCUGCACAUGGAUCUGUCUGCCCCCAUUUCAGAAAUUCAAGGUGAUCUUUCUCCAGGAGUUUCAGAAUCAGCAAACAUGCAGCAGAUGGGUGGGUUGGAAUCUCAGCUACAUCCUCAGAAGUUUCACAGGAGCCUUCCAGAAGCUCCUGACUGGGCAGGAUUCACCUGCAAUAAAUGCCACUCUUACAUCCACUGAUCUCAGCUCCCAAAUUGGUGCAAUUCACUCCAGCUCAAGAACAAUUAUCUUUAUCUCUAAAAGCCAUCACGGUAAAAAAAUCACCAGUCAUGGAGGAUUAAAAGUGGAAAAACACCUCCACUCUGAAACAUGACAGGUCCAGCCAGAUCCAAACUGCUGCUGAGCCUGCCAAAACCAGAAUGCAAAUCAUAAAACAUUCACAGUGAGGCUGCUUGCUACCUGAGUUACAUUUAUCCAAGGAAUAGCACUCUACUGCCAGAGUAUGGGGAAAUGGAAGAAAGUGGGAAAAUCAUAACAGAAUUUGACACUAAGUUCUUGAAAUAUAUUUUAGUCAGCUCUACCCUGAUCAGGGCAUUUUUAGGAUGAGGAAACAGGCAAUACAGAAAUUAAAAUUCCCCACAUUUGCUGCUCUUGCAGUAAGUGACAGGGUAAGAUCAAUGUUUGGAGAGAGACUGUAUAAAGAGAACAGUCUCCAUUAAUCUCAUCCCUUCCCAUGGUGAAAGCACUUAAUUUGCACUUUCUCAGCUGAGUAAUUACCUCUGCUCUACACUUACAGCUCCUUUAGGAACAGAGUAGCUGAUGUGAACACAGGGCAAUACUACAGAUGAAAAACAAUGCUAAAAAGAAGAAAGAAAACCAAACCACAAAAUUAACCUUUCCUGAGCCCCAAAGUGUUCCAUGUUGUUUCCACUAUUAGAUUACAUAUGAACCAGCAAAGACUUGGGAGAUGAAAACUCAGCUACAUUUAAAACCAAAGUGAGAUAUGUAAAAUACAAGUAAUGAAGCCAAGUUUUUAACCAAAGGCAUGAGGGCCCAAGCACAGCAGAAUUCUGGGGCCAGGAUACAGCUAAACAGGAGGAACAAAUGCAACAGCCACCUAACUUGGGCUGAAAACCUCUCUGGAAGCUCCCAAACUUUUCUAAACUCUGGGGAAAAAGAAACACUAAACAAAACAUAAAAAUAAAGUCUAGAAUGGCCGUAGAGUCACAGAAAUGAACCCAGAGCACUCUGCUGAGCUGUGCAGAACCCCGCACACUGCCAGAGUGGCUGCAGCCUCAUUAGCACAACAGCCCCACAGGCUCUGAAAAUCAGGGGAUUGAUGUAGUUUACACCAUGCUGACAAUUCCUGAAGGGAGAAAAGAAGUUAUUUGGCAAUUCUGGCAGAUUUUGCCAUUUUAUUGUUGGAAAUACAUGCACAAAAUUUAUGUUUUCAUUCUUUAU